GACAAAACCGCAGCAAAGGUAACAGG
rnacentral:piRNA from 1 species